rnacentral:lncRNA from 1 species
GGAGACUCAUAUUUAAGUAAGGAGAAACAGGAAGUGUCCCUUUUCCCCUCCGCUCUUCCUCCAGCAGCACAAUGUGAUCCACCAGCAAGGAAUGACACCAAUGGAAGGUGUCCAAUAAGGUGGCAGGCAGAACACUGGCAGCUGGCAGAGACCUCCCACGUGGCGGUAGAACUAGGGUGUCUUUUGGCGGAAAGAUUUAUCAUAACACUGGACUCUGACUACUGGGUGAACCUUACACAAACCCCUUAGCUUUGUUCCUUCUUCAACUCUCAAGUGGCAUGUUGACUAGGAUGAUUCGUUCGGAGGCUCCUCCAGCCCUCAACAUUCUGACAGAUGCCAGAGGGUAAAAUCACUGUAUCAAUGGGUGGCUCUUCAUACAUAAUGCGUAAUUAUCCCCCAGAAAUUGUCAAGCAGUUUAUACAUCCAACCCAGAAUCGGCAAGGGAAAUGCAACCACAGGUGAGGCGAAGAAAAACGUCUCAACGGCCAACGCAAGCAGCAAGCAGAGCCUUCAUCCAGUAGCUGAUGGAAGCAGAAGCAGACACCCACAGCUAAACACUGAGCUGAACUCCUGGAAUCGAAUUGCAGAGAGGGAGGAAUGGGUAAAGAACAUUAUUGCAAUACUUGUCUCUUCACAACUUGCCUGAACAGAAGAGGACACAGAAAGAUGAAUGAUAUAUCACUGCAUGAUAAAUUGAAUUAAGAGAAGAUCUUUGAGAAACACACAGGAAAAUAAGCUUUCAUCCAGUAGCUGCUGGAAGCAGAAGCAGACAUCCACAGCAAAACAUUGAGCUGAACUCUAAAAUCCAGUUGCAGAGAUGGAGGAGUGACGAGCAAGGCUGGAGAAACCCACAAAAACAGCUGACCAGAACAAGGGGUUGCUCAUGGACCCGAGACUGAUAUAGCUGGGAAACCAGCAUAGGACUGCUCCAGACCCCCUGAAGGGGAAAGCCACUUUGGAGUCUGGACAAUCUAUGGGGCCACUGGCAGUGGAUCAGUAUUUACUCCUAGUACACAAAUGGACUUUGGGAGCCCUCUCCACACAGAAGGAUACUCUCUCAGCCUAGACACACUGGAGAGGAUCUAGGCGCUGCUCCAAAUAUGACAGACUUUUAAGAUCCCCCAUGGUAGGCCUCGCCCUCCCUGGGGAGCAGAAAGGGUUUGGGAAAAAGGGUGGGGGGAGCGGGCAGGGGAAGAGGGGAGGGAGAGGGAACUGAGAUUGACAUGUAGAAGAAGCUUGUUUCUAAUUUAAAUUUAAAAAGAAAAGAAAUAAAAUAAAAUAUAGCAUUCUAAAAAAAGGAAGAAAAAUAAAAAAAAUAAGAAUUGCCAUUGAAGCAUCACUAUGUCCACAAACUAAGAUCAAAAUACACAUUUCUUUUAAAAAGAGCCUUAUUAAACCAGGCAUGGUGGUUUAUGCCUUUAAUCCCAGCGCUGAGGAGGCAAAGGCAAGCAGAUCACUGUGAGUUCAAGACCAGCCUAGUCUACUUGUAAGUUUCAGGGCUUCACAGUAAGAUCCUGUCUCAAAAAGAAGAGAAGAAGGGAAGAAGAAAAGAAGAAAGAAAGAGAGAUAGAGUAUAAAGAAAACGAAAUUAUGUCAGGUAGUGAUAACAUUAUUAAUAAUUCCAUAACAUGAGUAUAAGGAAAGUAUCAAAAUCAGGUAAUGUUCCUAUUAGUCAUGUGUGCAUCUACACACAGGAGUGCAUGCACACAGAGAGAUGCAACAACUAUCAUAAGUUUAAAACAGUGUUCAGACACACUUGCCAAGACAAACCAGCCACAAAAUGCAGCAUCUCACCAGACAUAUACCAUUUGUUGCAUAGGAUUAUCUAUAAAAAGUGAAUUUAAAGCUGAUUGCUAUAUCCAAAAUAUUAACACUGGUUUUAUUUUUUAAGUUAAUAUUUUAUUCAUUUUUUGGGAAGAGGGGUGCAUGGCUCACAUGUGGAAGUCAGAGGACAACUUGUAGACAUCCAUUCUCUCCUUCCACUGCUUGGGUCCAGGGACGGAACUCAAUCAUCGGGUUGUGUGGCAAGUGCCUUUACCUUGUGAGCCACACAUCCCCUCACUGGUUUUGGGAGGAUUGUUUCAGUUACAGAAUUAUGGUGUGAUUCCUUCUUGACUCCCAGAAGCAAAAGCACAUCACCAGUUCACUGAUGACCUUGGGUGCAAGAAGUUGAUAUUAUCCCAGUUCUAUUCCCUCAGUUCUGCUCAAGGGAAAAUGGUACUGAAGUCAAUGACAUUUCAUUUGCCACAGUACCAAGAAGUCAUGUUGAAGGAUGUGUGAGUGGCAUGGUCUGCUGGAUUUGGGGGCCCACUGUAUUCACUGGGGGUCAGCACAGCCUCUCAAGAACUCUUCUGCCCUCUGUGUGGAUAAUGGAACACUGAGACAUGGGAAACUAAAGGCAUAACCUAAAAUCGUCAUCCUUUGAGCCACCUAAAGAUCUCCUCUACUAUUUAGAGUAUUGAGAACCUUGUGAAAUAUAAACUAGCAUAUCCGUGAUGGAGAAUGGUAUGAAGCUUCCUCAAAAACAAAACAAAAACUACUACCAUUACACCAAAAAAAGUGCAAUGAUAUGUGUGUAUAAAAUAUUCAUUACCUAUAUGCUAACUAAAAAUAUUUAGUAAAGAGGGAAGAAAGAACUCUCAUGUGAUUCAAUACUGGGUAUGUAUUGAAAAGAAAUUAAAUCCAUAUAAUGAAAAGAUAUAUGAACUCCCAUGUUUACUAAAACACUAUCAGACUAUCAGUCAUGGCCAAUAUGUAGAACGAACAAAAUAGUCUAUAAAUGGAUGAAUGGAUAAAGAAAUUCUGUUAUACAUAUGAAAUGGAAUAUUACUCAGCAGUAUAAAAGGAUGAAACCCUGGCAUUUGGAUGGAACAUUAUGUUUAGUGUAAUAUGAAGAGAACAAAAAAUACCAUGUAUUCUCUUUCAUAUGCAGAAGCUUAUGGAAUUGAUUUCCUGACAUUGGAAACUAUAACAAUGGUUACUAGAGGCUAAGAUGAGCAAGGAACAAGGAGGAUAUCGGGACAUUGCACGAAAAUAAGUAAUAAAAAAAAAAGUACCAAUGUUCUGUGUAUUGCAAUGAGAAUACAAAAAAUACCACUUAUAUAUUCUAUAAGGAAAUAGAAAAGAGAAG